rnacentral:rRNA from 1 species
GAACGCUGGCGGCGUGCCUAAUACAUGCAAGUCGAGCGAACAGACGAGGAGCUUGCUCCUUUGACGUUAGCGGCGGACGGGUGAGUAACACGUGGGUAACCUACCUAUAAGACUGGGAUAACUUCGGGAAACCGGAGCUAAUACCGGAUAAUAUUUCGAACCGCAUGGUUCGAUAGUGAAAGAUGGCUUUGCUAUCACUUAUAGAUGGACCUGCGCCGUAUUAGCUAGUUGGUAAGGUAACGGCUUACCAAGGCAACGAUACGUAGCCGACCUGAGAGGGUGAUCGGCCACACUGGAACUGAGACACGGUCCAGACUCCUACGGGAGGCAGCAGUAGGGAAUCUUCCGCAAUGGGCGAAAGCCUGACGGGGCAACGCCGCGUGAGUGAUGAAGGUCUUCGGAUCGUAAAACUCUGUUAUUAGGGAAGAACAAACGUGUAAGUAACUGUGCACGUCUUGACGGUACCUAAUCAGAAAGCCACGGCUAACUACGUG